UACGUAGGCAGCAAGCGUUGUUCGGAGUUACUGGGCGUAAAGCGUGCGCAGGCGGUUCGUUGUGUCGGCGGUGAAAGCCCCGGGCUCAACCUGGGAAUGGCCGUUGAAACUGGCGAACUGGAGUGUGGCAGAGGGGGGUGGAAUUCCGCGUGUAGCAGUGAAAUGCGUAGAGAUGCGGAGGAACACCGAUGGCGAAGGCAGCCCCCUGGGCUGACACUGACGCUCAGGCACGAAAGCGUGGGGAGCAAACAGG
rnacentral:rRNA from 1 species